AUGAGAUGUGGGCAUUUCCUCAACAACUCUCUGUAAUGCUCCCAUGCUUCGUAUAAUGACUCUCCAUCUACCUGCAUAAGAUUAGUGAUAUCAUUACACAUCCU